UACGUAGGUGGCAAGCGUUGUUCGGAAUUAUUGGGCGUAAAGGGCGCGUAGGCGGUUUGUUAAGUCAGCUGUGAAAGCCCGGGGCUCAACCCCGGAGGGUCAGCUGAUACUGGCAGGCUAGAGUACAGAAGAGGUAACUGGAAUUCCCGGUGUAGAGGUGAAAUUCGUAGAUAUCGGGAGGAACACCAGUGGCGAAGGCGGCGAUCUGGGAAGAUACUGACGCUGAGGUGCGAAAGCGUGGGGAGCAAACAGG
rnacentral:rRNA from 1 species